UUUGUUGCCGUGGCAACCACCUUACAUUCCCAGCAUACUUUGGUUCAGCUCACACCUUCACCUGGGAGCAGUUACAUCACAUUUCAAAUAAAAGGACAAUAAAAGCUAAGCCUUCAGUGAAGUUGCCCUCUGAAGGCCAGCGGGAAGUGUUUGUUUUGUCUUCUGUGUAAAAUCGGAGCUAGCAACCAAAAGAACUUGAUGUCCCCAUGAAAAAUGCAAAGGAUCACGGCAGAGAGCUGAUAGCAGGUCAUUGUGCGUGCAUUCCUCACGGCCCCUCACAGUGCUGGGUUCCGAAGGAGAAGACAUUUCCUGCCUCGGUACAUAGCAGAGGAAGACAAGUGUCCUGCAAUGACCUCAGAAGACUCUGGCAGGUUUUCAAAGACCUUGAGCAGAAUUUCCUCAAAGCUUCCAUCAACCCAGUGAGCCUCUGUGGUAUGGUGUGGAACACAUGCGCGUCCCGCGCAUUCCACAGGAUGGACGAGAGUUGCUGUAGAGGGUCAUCUUUACAACCACUGGAAACAUGUUCGCCAGUGAUGCAGAAAAGGACACCAUGAUCUACAAUAUGUUCCUCCAACCUUCUUCGCUCCUAUCCAACUACGAUUAUUGAAGGCAGACAGUAAUUUACUAAUGCCCAUAAUGCUAUAGAAUUUAAUAUAUCCUGUCAUUGAA